CCUACGGGAGGCAGCAGUGAGGAAUAUUGGUCAAUGGACGAGAGUCUGAACCAGCCAAGUAGCGUGAAGGAUGACUGCCCUAUGGGUUGUAAACUUCUUUUAUAUGGGAAUAAAACGUUCCACGUGUGGGAUUUUGUAUGUACCAUAUGCAUAAGGAUCGGCUAACUCCGUUCCAGCCGCCGCGGUAAUACGGAGGAUACGAGCGUUCUCCGGAUUUAUUGGGGUGAAAGGGAUCGGAGGUGGAUUGUUAAGUUAGUUGUGAAAGUUUGCGGCUCAACCGUAAAAUUGCAGUUGAGACUGGCAGUCUUGAGUAAAGUAGAGGUGGGCGGAAUUCGUGGUGUAGCGGUGAAAUGCUUAGAUAUCACGAAGAACUCCGAGUGCGAAGGCAGUUCACUGGACUGCAACUGACACUGAGGCUCGAAAGUGUGGGUAGCAAACAGGAUUAGAUACCCCAGUAGUC
rnacentral:rRNA from 1 species